UUACUAUUCUAACUUGGCGCUAUUAACGCUUUCACAACCCAAAAACAUCAAGAAAAGCCUUUCAAUAAAUUGCUCUUCUCUUGGCGAAAGAAAGCGGGGGGCAAAAAGAAUCACGGGACUUAUGUUUCGGGAUCUCUUUGUUUCUUCUUUUUUUCCCGGAGAAUAAUUUUUUAGGACCAAUUACCGUAGUUGCGACUACAACAAUUGUUGUUCAUACCCCCACGAUUUACUUUUUGAAAACUAGUUUUUGGAAUAAUAAUGUUGUAAAAUUUCCCUUUUUCCACCCCGAUUUGUAUUUUAUUUUUCGUUACAAAAUUGGGACUAAUAUUAAGGGCGACAGUUUUUC
rnacentral:snoRNA from 1 species